rnacentral:rRNA from 1 species
AGGUAAGCUACUAAGAGCGAAUGGUGGAUGCCUUGACUGGUAAAGGCGAUGAAGGACGUACUAGACUGCGAUAAGCUACGGGGAGCUGUCAAGAAGCUUUGAUCCGUAGAUUUCCGAAUGGGGCAACCCAAUGUAUAGAGAUAUACAUUACCUAUAUAGGAGCGAACGAGGGGAAUUGAAACAUCUUAGUACCCUCAGGAAAAGAAAUCAAUAGAGAUUGUGUCAGUAGCGGCGAGCGAAAGCGCAAGAGGGCAAACCCAGUGCUUGCACUGGGGGUUGUAGGACUGCAAUGUGCAAGAGCUGAGUUUAGCAGAACAUUCUGGAAAGUAUAGCCAUAGAGGGUGAUAGUCCCGUAUGCGAAAAACAAAGCUUAGCUAGCAGUAUCCUGAGUAGGGCGGGACACGAGGAAUCCUGUCUGAAUCCGGGUCGACCACGAUCCAACCCUAAAUACUAAUACCAGAUCGAUAGUGCACAAGUACCGUGAGGGAAAGGUGAAAAGAACUGAGGUGAUCAGAGUGAAAUAGAACCUGAAACCAUUUGCUUACAAUCAUUCAGAGCACUAUGUAGCAAUACAGUGUGAUGGACUGCCUUUUGCAUAAUGAGCCUGCGAGUUGUGGUGUCUGGCAAGGUUAAGCAAACGCGAAGCCGUAGCGAAAGCGAGUCUGAAUAGGGCGCUUAGUCAGAUGCUGCAGACCCGAAACGAAGUGAUCUAUCCAUGAGCAAGUUGAAGCUAGUGUAAGAACUAGUGGAGGACUGAACCCAUAGGCGUUGAAAAGCCCCGGGAUGACUUGUGGAUAGGGGUGAAAGGCCAAUCAAACUUCGUGAUAGCUGGUUCUCUCCGAAAUAUAUUUAGGUAUAGCGUUGUGUCGUAAUAUAAGGGGGUAGAGCACUGAAUGGGCUAGGGCAUACACCAAUGUACCAAACCCUAUCAAACUCCGAAUACCUUAUAUGUAAUCACAGCAGUCAGGCGGCGAGUGAUAAAAUCCGUCGUCAAGAGGGAAACAACCCAGACUACCAGCUAAGGUCCCUAAAUCUUACUUAAGUGGAAAACGAUGUGAAGUUACUUAAACAACCAGGAGGUUGGCUUAGAAGCAGCCAUCCUUUAAAGAAAGCGUAAUAGCUCACUGGUCUAGUGAUUUUGCGCGGAAAAUAUAACGGGGCUAAAGUAAGUACCGAAGCUGUAGACUUGCGCACAACUUAGAUUAUUUAAGUUUAGAAUAUGAGAAACUAAGUUAUAUUUUUACUGAUUUUUAUAGAGUAAAGAUAGAAAUAAAACUUAGUAAAAUCAGUAAAAAUAUUCUUAGGCUAAAGUUAAGUAGUUUAAGUUGUGUGCAAGUGGUAGGAGAGCGUUCUAUUUGCGUCGAAGGUAUACCGGUAAGGAGUGCUGGAGCGAAUAGAAGUGAGCAUGCAGGCAUGAGUAGCGAUAAUUAAUGUGAGAAUCAUUAACGCCGUAAACCCAAGGUUUCCUACGCGAUGCUCGUCAUCGUAGGGUUAGUCGGGUCCUAAGUCGAGUCCGAAAGGGGUAGACGAUGGCAAAUUGGUUAAUAUUCCAAUACCAACAUUAGUGUGCGAUGGAAGGACGCUUAGGGCUAAGGGGGCUAGCGGAUGGAAGUGCUAGUCUAAGGUCGUAGGAGGUUAUACAGGCAAAUCCGUAUAACAAUACUCCGAGAACUGAAAGGCUUUUUGAAGUCUUCGGAUGGAUAGAAGAACCCCUGAUGCCGUCGAGCCAAGAAAAGUUUCUAAGUUUAGCUAAUGUUGCCCGUACCGUAAACCGACACAGGUGGGUGGGAUGAGUAUUCUAAGGCGCGUGGAAGAACUCUCUUUAAGGAACUCUGCAAAAUAGCACCGUAUCUUC